rnacentral:tRNA from 1 species
GUCGUUGUAGUAUGGUAGUGAGUAUUCCCGCCUGUCACGCGGGUGACCCGGGUUCGAUCCCCGGCAACGGCG